AACAAACGCUGGCGGCGUGCCUAACACAUGCAAGUCGUACGAGAAAGGGUCCUUCGGGACCUGAGUAAAGUGGCGCACGGGUGAGUAACGCGUGGAUAAUCUACCCCUCAGUUGGGAAUAACUCAUCGAAAGGUGGGCUAAUACCGAAUAAUACUGCGAGACCAUGGUUGAGCAGUCAAAGAGCGCCUCUGCUUGCAAGCGUUCGCUGAAGGAUGAGUCCGCGUACCAUUAGCUAGUUGGUAGGGUAAUGGCCUACCAAGGCUGCGAUGGUUAGCUGGUCUGAGAGGAUGAUCAGCCACACUGGAACUGAGACACGGUCCAGACUCCUACGGGUGGCUG
rnacentral:rRNA from 1 species